rnacentral:misc_RNA from 1 species
AAGUCGUAACAAGGUAACCGUAGGUGAACCUGCGGUUGGAUCAUUACUGAAUUGACCGAAUCUGGGUUGCCCCCGCAGCCGCACCGAAGCGGGAAGUGUCUUGGGUCCCUGCGGACGCGAGGCACGGCCGUCGGAGGUGCUGCUUCCCGGGACGUGACCUUGGUUUGAACCAACCUAAAACCUUUUGUGAAUUGUCUUGUCUCUGGCGGCGGGGUGGGAGUAAGUGGUGGGCGUCGCAAGGCGUCCGUCCGACCACCUGUCAGCUUGGGGGCCGACCGGUCCCCUUGCCGUGGACAAACCGCCAACCAUGUCCUAAACCUGUCAAUGAAUCUUCUUGUCUGAAAUGAAUCUGUCCAUUGAAUACAGAAACAACUUUUGGCAACGGAUCUCUUGGCUCUC